rnacentral:tRNA from 2 species
UCAGAAAAUAGUAUAAAAAUUAUGUAAAUUUUGGAGAUUUAGGAUGAGAAGUCUUUUCUGAA